CCAGUUUUUUUAAGUAAACUGAUUUUUCCCGUGAUCAGACUAUGAAGAAGUAUUCCAGCCAGUUCUUUCGGUAGCAAGUUGAGUAGCUUCGAAAUUACCUACACUACAUUUAGUAUUUCAAGAAAAUCAGCUGAAAGGUUUUUAAAGGAAGGUAAGUAAUUAGGUACAUCACCGUUCGUGUUUGUUUGCUUAGAAUCGUUUUAGUUCAAAGAAAUUUCACUCUGAUGAGAUAUUUGGUUAAUAAGCGAACAGUGCGGACAAUUGGUUUUAAAGAGCGUAAAUGGCCUAAUGGGCCUACUUACUAAUUUUUUCGAUUGUUCGUAGCGCCACAGAUACUCGAUCUUCAAGACUCGAUGUCCACCUCUGGUCAACACCCCACUUCUAUGAUGGACUACAUCCGGUUCGGCCUUGGUUCUGUUGGAUACGGUUCAGGCGAGUGAGUUACCCCCAACUUACGAUGCCUGUUUGCCAGUAAUCUGCGAACGUGAACGAGUACCGGUAGCAACGUGUCGUCUUUCCCUUGGUCGUGAUCCUUCCUAGGCGAGACUGAAUGAAUAAAGCUCAAGGUAAUUGGUAAUGGAGGUAUCGCGUACGUAGACGUUAUCAACUCCUUUUGCCAUCAGUUUGGGAACUUCGACUGCGAUUCAUCUUUGGUGUUCCUUCCAGG